GCCUGACUAGCUCAAUUGGGAAGGCAUGAGACUCUUGAUCUCAGGAUCAUGAGUUCAAGCCCCACGUUGGGUG
rnacentral:tRNA from 1 species